CGCGUAGGCGGCCCUGCAAGUCCGAUGUGAAAUCCCCGGGCUCAACCCGGGAUCCGCGUUGGAUACUGCGAGGCUUGAGUGCAGGAGAGGAGAGCGGAAUUCCCAGUGUAGCGGUGAAAUGCGUAGAUACUGGGAGGAACACCGGUGGCGAAGGCGGCUCUCUGGACUGCUACUGACGCUGAGGCGCGAAAGCGUAGGGGAGCAAACGGGAUUAGAUACCCCGGUAGUCCUAGCCGUAAACGUUGGGCACUAGGUGUGGGAGGUAUCGACCCCUUCGUGCCGUAGCUAACGCAUUAAGUGCCCCGCUGGGGAGUACGGCCGCAAGGUUGAA
rnacentral:rRNA from 1 species